AUCUCCAUGUUCUCUUUGUUUCUACCACUGUAUUGCAUGUAUGUGUAAAAAAAACCUAAAUUAAAUAAGUAAAUAAAGUCCCUUUAGUCUAUGAAAUUGAAAUACAAUCAAACAGUGAACAUUUGUCAGGCAGGUUUGGACAGAGCCGGCUGCAGUGCCGUCUGAGGACUGCUGUUUUCGUGCUCCCUCCUCCCGGCUCCCUGUGGACAGCCCCCAUACUUGCUCACAAAGCCCCUUCCACAUCGGAAGCCCCAGCUCAGCUCCUCUGGACACAGACAGGCACCGCCUUCCUCGUAGCACCCAGCGAAUAGCCGGUGAGCGCUUUCCAGCUGCGGCACUGGUUAACAGCGUCAGGGGCUUUUUCCUUCGAUGGAACACCCGGAGUCACCUAGUGCGAUUCUAUCCUGCGUGACUGCUCUGUGCCAGGCAUCGGGUCAGUCACUGGGAGGAACAUGGACAGGAGUAAGUUAUGGUCACUA
rnacentral:lncRNA from 1 species